GACGAACGCUGGCGGCGUGCCUAAUACAUGCAAGUAGAACGCUGAAGAGAGGAGCUUGCUCUUCUUGGAUGAGUUGCGAACGGGUGAGUAACGCCUAGGUAACCUGCCUUGUAGCGGGGGAUAACUAUUGGAAACGAUAGCUAAUACCGCAUAACAAUGGAUGACACAUGUCAUUUAUUUGAAAGGGGCAAUUGCUCCACUACAAGAUGGACCUGCGUUGUAUUAGCUAGUAGGUGAGGUAACGGCUCACCUAGGCGACGAUACAUAGCCGACCUGAGAGGGUGAUCGGCCACACUGGGGACUGAGACACGGCCCAGACUCCUACGGGAGGCAGCAGUAGGGAAUCUUCGGCAAUGGGGGGCAACCCUGACCGAGCAACGGCCCGCGUGAGUGAAGGAAGGGUUUUUCGGAUUCGUA
rnacentral:rRNA from 1 species